rnacentral:rRNA from 1 species
ACGGCCAUACCAUGCUGAAUAUUUCGGUUCUCGUUAGAUCACCGAAGUCAAGCAUCAUUGGGCGCGGUCAGUACUUGGGUGGGUGACCACCUGGGAACACCGCGUGCCGUU